GCGUAGGGAUCUACCCAGCUGCGGGGGAUAGCCCGGUGAAAACCGGAUUAAUACCGCAUACGACCUUCGGGUGAAAGGGUGCCUCUCCUUGGAAGCAUUCACAGUUGGAUGAACCUGCGUCAGAUUAGCUAGUUGGUGGGGUAAUGGCCUACCAAGGCGACGAUCUGUAGCUGGUCUGAGAGGAUGAUCAGCCACACUGGGACUGAGACACGGCCCAGACUCCUACGGGAGGCAGCAGUGGGGAAUAUUGGACAAUGGGGGCGAACCCUGAUCCAGCCAUGCCGCGUGCGUGAAGAAGGC
rnacentral:rRNA from 1 species